CGUCCGUCGUGAAGAGGGAAACAACCCAGACCGCCAGCUAAGGUCCCAAAGUCAUGGUUAAGUGGGAAACGAUGUGGGAAGGCCCAGACAGCCAGGAUGUUGGCUUAGAAGCAGCCAUCAUUUAAAGAAAGCGUAAUAGCUCACUGGUCGAGUCGGCCUGCGCGGAAGAUGUAACGGGGCUAAACCAUGCACCGAAGCUGCGGCAGCGACACUAUGUGUUGUUGGGUAGGGGAGCGUUCUGUAAGCCUGUGAAGGUGUGCUGUGAGGCAUGCUGGAGGUAUCAGAAGUGCGAAUGCUGACAUAAGUAACGAUAAAGCGGGUGAAAAGCCCGCUCGCCGGAAGACCAAGGGUUCCUGUCCAACGUUAAUCGGGGCAGGGUGAGUCGACCCCUAAGGCGAGGCCGAAAGGCGUAGUCGAUGGGAAACAGGUUAAUAUUCCUGUACUUGGUGUUACUGCGAAGGGGGGACGGAGAAGGCUAUGUUGGCCGGGCGACGGUUGUCCCGGUUUAAGCGUGUAGGCUGGUUUUCCAGGCAAAUCCGGAAAAUCAAGGCUGAGGCGUGAUGACGAGGCACUACGGUGCUGAAGCAACAAAUGCCCUGCUUCCAGGAAAAGCCUCUAAGCAUCAGGUAACAUCAAAUCGUACCCCAAACCGACACAGGUGGUCAGGUAGAGAAUACCAAGGCGCUUGAGAGAACUCGGGUGAAGGAACUAGGCAAAAUGGUGCCGUAACUUCGGGAGAAGG
rnacentral:rRNA from 1 species